rnacentral:rRNA from 1 species
GCAAGUCGAGCGCGCCCUUCGGGGUGAGCGGCGGACGGGUGAGUAACGCGUGGGAACGUGCCCUUCACUACGGAAUAGUCCCGGGAAACUGGGUUUAAUACCGUAUACGCCCUUCGGGGGAAAGAAUUUCGGUGAAGGAUCGGCCCGCGUUGGAUUAGGUAGUUGGUGGGGUAAUGGCCUACCAAGCCGACGAUCCAUAGCUGGUUUGAGAGGAUGAUC